rnacentral:rRNA from 2 species
UAAUCGUGGAUCAGAAUGCCACGGUGAAUACGUUCCCGGGCCUUGUACACACCGCCCGUCACACCAUGGGAGUGGGUUGCAAAAGAAGUAGGUAGCUUAACCUUCGGGAGGGCGCUUACCACUUUGUGAUUCAUGACUGGGGUGAAGUCGUAACAAGGUAACCGUAGGGGAACCUGCGGUUGGAUCACCUCCUUACCUUAAAGAA